rnacentral:rRNA from 1 species
GGGACGAACGCUGGCGGCGUGCUUAACACAUGCAAGUCGAGCGGAAAGGCCCUUUCGGGGGUACUCGAGCGGCGAACGGGUGAGUAACACGUGAGCAACCUGCCCUGGACUUUGGGAUAACCCUCGGAAACGGGGACUAAUACCGGAUACGACCAAGCUUCGCAUGGGGUCUUGGUGGAAAGUUUUUCGGUCUGGGAUGGGCUCGCGGCCUAUCAGCUUGUUGGUGGGGUAAUGGCCUACCAAGGCGACGACGGGUAG